CAGCAGGCGCGAAAACUGCACAAUGUGGGAAACCACGAUGCGGGAACACCAAGUGCCAGCACAUAGUGUUGGCUGUUUGCGAGCCUAAAAAGCUCGGAGAGUAAGGGCUGGGUAAGACGGGUGCCAGCCAGCCGCAGGUAAUACCUGCAGCCCAAGUGGUGCCGUUAUUAUUGGGCCCUAAAGCGUCCGUAGCCGGUUUCGUAGAUGCCUUUGUAAAUCGAACGGCUCAACCGUUCGACUUGAGGGUAGACCGCGAGACUCGGGAUCGGGAGAGGUGCGAGGUACUCGGGGGGUAGAGGUGAAAUUCUGUAAUCCUCCGGGGACCACCGGUGGCGAAGGCGUCGCACUUGAACGACUCCGACGGUGAGGGACGAAGCCCUGGGGCGCAAACCGGAUUAGAUACCCGGGUAGUCCAGGGUGUAAACGCUGUGGGCUUGGUGUCGGGAGUCCUACGGGGGCACCCGGUGCCGGAGAGAAGUUGUUAAGCCCACCGCCUGGGGAGUACGGCCGCAAGGUUGAAACUUAAAGGAAUUGGCGGGGGAGCAC
rnacentral:rRNA from 1 species